rnacentral:lncRNA from 1 species
AAUAAGCAAUAUAUUAGACUCUGACAUGUUAGCUUUCUUCCUAAAAUUUAUCAAUGAAUAUCUUAAAAACGAAGAAGUGAAAUUGAAAGUGAAAUGAAGCAACAUUUACGAUAGAAAGUAAGACAAUAGGAGGUUUUUCAAAAUUCUCCAUAACCAAAAUGUACAGUUAGGUGUAUAAUCUUUCAAAGGCAUUGAAAAACGUGAACAAAAAAUGAUGUUUCUGUAUGUUUAGCAGGUUGUCUACUAAAAGUUGGAGUUUCUACAGGUGGGU